rnacentral:rRNA from 1 species
AUACGUAGGGGGCGAGCGUUGUCCGGAAUGAUUGGGCGUAAAGGGCGCGUAGGCGGCCCGGUAAGUCUGGAGUGAAAGUCCUGUUUUUAAGAUGGGAAUUGCUUUGGAUACUGUCGGGCUUGAGUGCAGGAGAGGUAAGUGGAAUUCCCAGUGUAGCGGUGAAAUGCGUAGAGAUUGGGAGGAACACCAGUGGCGAAGGCGACUUACUGGACUGUAACUGACGCUGAGGCGCGAUAGUGUGGGGAGCAAACAGGAUUAGAUACCCUGGUAGUCCACACUGUAAACGAUGAAUGCUAGGUGUAGGGGGUAUCGACCCCUUCUGUGCCGCAGUCAACACAAUAAGCAUUCCGCCUGGGGAGUACGGCCGCAAGGUUGAAACUCAAAGGAAUUGACGGGG